rnacentral:rRNA from 1 species
CAGCAGCCGCGGGAAUACAGAGGGUGCAAGCGUUAAUCGGAAUUACUGGGCGUAAAGCGCGCGUAGGUGGUUCGCCAAGUUGGAUGUGAAAUCCCCGGGCUUAACCUGGGAACUGCAUUUGAAACUGGCAGGCUAGAGUCUUGUAGAGGGGGGUAGAAUUCCAGGUGUAGCGGUGAAAUGCGUAGAGAUCUGGAGGAAUACCGGUGGCGAAGGCGGCCCCCUGGACAAAGACUGACGCUCAGGUGCGAAAGCGUGGGGAGCAAACAGGAUUAGAUACCCCGGUAGUCCCUGUCUCUUAUAC